rnacentral:rRNA from 1 species
AGAGUUUGAUCAUGGCUCAGAACGAACGCUGGCGGCGUGGAUAAGACAUGCAAGUCGGACGAGAUUUUCCGUUGUAGCAAUACGAUGGAAAGUCUAGUGGCGAACGGGUGCUUAACACGUGGGCAAUCUGUCUUAAAGUGGGGGGAUAGCUCGGCGAAAGCCGAAUUAAUACCGCAUGUGAUUAGAGUGGACAUCCAUUCAAAAUUAAAGGUGGCGCAAGCUACCGCUUUUUGAGGAGCCCGCGGCCUAUCAGCUUGUUGGUGAGGUAACGGCUCACCAAGGCUUUGACGGGUAGCUGGUCUGAGAGGACGACCAGCCACACUGGGACUGAGACACGGCCCAGACACCUACGGGUGGCAGCAGUCGAGAAUUUUUCUCAAUGGGGGAAACCCUGAAGGAGCGACGCCGCGUGGAGGAUGAAGGUCUUCGGAUUGUAAACUCCUGUCAUUGGGGAACAAGUCGCUUACGUUAACUGCGUGAGCGUUGAUAGUACCCGAAGAGGAAGAGACGGCUAACUCUGUGCCAGCAGCCGCGGUAAUACAGAGGUCUCAAGCGUUGUUCGGAUUCAUUGGGCGUAAAGGGUGCGUAGGCGGCGCGGUAAGUCGGGUGUGAAAUCUUGGAGCUUAACUCCGAAACUGCAUUCGAUACUGCCGUGCUUGAGGACUGGAGAGGAGACUGGAAUUUACGGUGUAGCGGUGAAAUGCGUAGAUAUCGUAAGGAAGACCAGUGGCGAAGGCGGGUCUCUGGACAGUUCCUGACGCUGAGGCACGAAGGCCAGGGGAGCAAACGGGAUUAGAUACCCUAGUAGUCC